GACGUAGGGCGCGAGCGUUGUCCGGAUUUAUUGGGCGUAAAGAGCUCGUAGGCGGCUUGUCGCGUCGUUCGUGAAAACUUGGGGCUCAACCCCAAGCUUGCGGUCGAUACGGGCAGGCUAGAGUUCGGUAGGGGAGACUGGAAUUCCUGGUGUAGCGGUGAAAUGCGCAGAUAUCAGGAAGAACACCCGUGGCGAAGGCGGCUCUCUGGGACGGUACUGACGCUGAGACGCGAAAGCGUGGGGAGCGAACAGG
rnacentral:rRNA from 1 species